rnacentral:lncRNA from 1 species
AUCAACCAUCUGAUUAGAUCAUGAACUCUAAUGUGUGUGACCUCAUAAGUUUGAACCUAAGCUAGUAAUAUAGGAAUAAAUUUUUAUACCAAUCAAAGUGACCAUCUAGCAAUCGUACCCACCAGUCGGAUAGGUCGAAUGUGUAGAACAAUAUCCUUAGAAUCCAUGCGGAUAUAGUUUCCAUAUAAUUCAUCCCCUUGACCAAAAUGCUCAUAGGACACCUCAGAGUUUAACUGUCAACUCUGAUCAGGUUGUCCACAUUGUAUUUCAAAAUAUCAAAUCCAUCUGAUGGAUUAUCCUGGCC